GCCUAGAGCAGUGCUCGGCCUAGAGGAGGAGUGGAAGAAUCCCCACUGGACCUUUACCAUGUUGGCAAUUGCAGAGGUGAACACAAGCAAGACUGAAAAGAUGCCAACCACAGUGCUGUGUGCCCGAGAACGGACAAUGCUGCGGGAAAGGCGUUGCAGGGCCUUGGGGAAGAGCUGCAGACAGGCAAGAGACCGAGAGUUAGAGACUGUGUCAGCCAAGGGGUAAGGCCAACCAGGGAUGGGGCCUUGUAAGAGAGGCCUGGCCUUCUCUUCCUUCUCCCAGCAGGAUUCCUCACCACCUCAACCCAGCCUGCCCUCCCCAACCAGCCCAGGAAGAACCCUCAACAUACAGAGCCACAGGAGUACACGGCGCAGACAGGACAGGAACCCCAGUGUCACAGGGCCUGUGUGGUGCACAAUCAGGGGGAACCAUUCAGACUGAUUCCAUGGAGUUGUACAAGGCAGCAGACCCGGCGUACAGGACUCUGGCCCCCUGCCUGGAUCGCUCUACAGCUAGAAAUGAGAGCUCACAACUCCUGGGAGGAGAAGCACCGACCAGGGCAAGGUGGGUCAUGGGGCCAGGGCCCAGCACACUAUGACUUCCUGCUCCAGAAUCAGCCCAAACAAAACACAAUGCCGCUCCUUCUGCACCUGGUUCUCCUCACAAGACAACACCCAGGAGACUCGAGCUCUAUAUCCUCCUGUGAAUGCCCAGGACAAGUCCUCUCAUCUCUCUGGGCCUCUGUUUGCUCAUCUAGAACCUGAAGAAGGACAAUAAGAAGAUUUCUAAGGUUCCUCCCUGUUCUGACAUAACUUGCUAUACUAAUAAUUAUUAUUCUUAUUGGAGCUAAUUUGUUGGCCGCCUCCAAUAUGCCUGACUUCUGUGGCUGCCUCCUAUACAGUAACUAAUGGAUUUCCAACAACUCUAUAAAAUAAAACUAUCUCAUUUUAAA